GUAGCAUAAUCAAUAGUCUCUUAAUUGGUGACUUGUAUGAAAGAUUGGAUGAGAUAUAUACUGUCUCUAAUUAAUUUAUUGAAAUUAAUUUUUUAGUAAAAAAGCUAAAAUAAUUUUAAAAGACGAGAAGACCCUAUAGAGUUUAAUAAUUUAUUUAAUUAUUAUUAAUAUAUAAUUUUUAAAAUUAAAAUUAAGUAAAUUAUUUUGUUGGGGUGAUAAAAAAAUUAAAUUAACUUUUUUUUUAUAACUAACAUUAAUUUAUGAAUAAAUGAUCCAUUUAUAGUGAUUAAAAGAAAAAAUUACCUUAGGGAUAACAGCGUAAUUUUUUUUUUUAGUUCGUAUAGGAAAAAAA
rnacentral:rRNA from 1 species